rnacentral:rRNA from 1 species
GAUGAACGCUAGCGGGAGGCUUAACACAUGCAAGUCGUGGGGCAGCACAGGUAGCAAUACUGGGUGGCGACAGGCGCACGGGUGAGUAACGCGUAUGCAACCUGCCCUGUACAGGGGGCUAGCACGGAGACAUUCGGAUUAAUACCCCAUCAUGAGAUUAACAGGCAUCUUUUGCUAUUUAAAGUUUCGGCGGUACAGGAUGGGGAUGCGUGGCCUUAGCUAGUUGGUAGGGUAAUGGCAUACCAAGGCUUCGAUGUCUAGGGGUCCUGAGAGAGUGAUCCCCCACACUGGUACUGAGAGACGGACCAGACUCCUACCGGAGGCAGCAGUGAGGAAUAUUGGUCAAUGGGCGCAAGCCUGAACCAGCCAUCCCGCGUGAAGGAAGAAUGCGCUAUGCGGUGUAAACUUCUUUUCCAGGGGAAGAAAAUCCUGUACGUGUACGGUACUGACGGUACCUUGGGAAUAAGCAUCGGCUAACUCCGUGCCAGCAGCCGCGGUAAAAC